UUCUGCGCCACUCUACGGAAAAUCCCGCCAAAAUCGGGUCUCCAAUCAAAACUACCUUCGCUACUCACUUCCAUCGCCAACUACUGAUGAGCAUAAACCGGCCGUCUCCGCCAUCAACUAGCGGCGGAUUCAGCUCCGCAUCUCCGCCUCGCCGACUCCAUAACCGGCUGCCACCGUUCCGCUCUUCAUCCCCUUUGUUAUUGCAGAGUAAGACGUCGAUUUCUCAAUAAGAUCUUGGAUUGUGAGGUGGAUUCUGCUGAAAAAAAAACAUGGCGCGCAUGUAAACAAGGUGCUCUACCAGUUGAGCUAUAACCCUUAGUGCUUGUGAUGCAUAUUUUAUCAUGUAUAUAAUUUGUUGUUAAGAUGAAUAUUCUAUGAUUCAACAUCAUAAAUAUCGACUGUAUGAUCCCUA